rnacentral:rRNA from 1 species
CCUACGGGAGGCAGCAGUGAGGAAUAUUGGUCAAUGGGCGUAAGCCUGAACCAGCCAAGUCGCGUGAGGGAUGAAGGUUCUAUGGAUCGUAAACCUCUUUUAUCAGGGAAUAAAGUGCGGGACGUGUCCCGGGUUGUAUGUACCUGAUGAAUAAGGAUCGGCUAACUCCGUGCCAGCAGCCGCGGUAAUACGGAGGAUCCGAGCGUUAUCCGGAUUUAUUGGGUUUAAAGGGUGCGUAGGCGGCCUUUUAAGUCAGCGGUUAAAGUCCGUGGCUCAACCAUGGAACUGCCGUUGAAACUGGGAGGCUCGAGUUGGUGUGAGGCAGGCGGAAUGCGUGGUGUAGCGGUGAAAUGCUUAGAUAUCACGCAGAACCCCGAUUGCGAAGGCAGCCUGCCAGGCCAUCACUGACGCUGAUGCACGAAAGCGUGGGGAUCAAACAGGAUUAGAUACCCGGGUAGUC